AGAGUUGAUCCUGGCUCAGAUUGAACGCUGGCGGCAUGCCUUACACAUAGCAAGUCGAACGGCAGCACGGGAGCUUGCUCCUGGUGGCGAGUGGCGAACGGGUGAGUAAUACAUCGGAACGUACCCUGAAGUGGGGGAUAACGUAGCGAAAGUUACGCUAAUACCGCAUAUUCUGUGAGCAGGAAAGAGGGGGAUCGCAAGACCUCUUGCUUUAGGAGCGGCCGAUGUCGGAUUAGCUAGUUGGUGAGGUAAAGGCUCACCAAGGCGACGAUCCGUAGCGGGGUCUGAGAGGAUGAUCCGCCACACUGGGACUGAGACACGGCCCAGACUCCUACGGGAGGCAGCAGUGGGGAAUUUUGGACAAUGGGCGCAAGCCUGAUCCAGCCAUGCCGCGUGAGUGAAGAAGGCCUUCGGGUUGUAAAGCUCUUUCGGUGGGGAAGAAAUUGCUUCGGUUAAUACCUGGAGUAGAUGACGGUACCCGCAUAAGAAGCACCGGCUAACUACGUG
rnacentral:rRNA from 1 species